rnacentral:misc_RNA from 1 species
GUGAACUUAUUAGCCUUUCUGUCCAAGAACUUGUCAACUGUGAUAAUUCAACCAAUACUGGCUGUUAUGGUGGAUAUAUGGACCAUGCUUUUGAGUGGGUGAUCAGUAAUGGCGGCAUUGCUUCAGAACUUGAUUACCCGUACACAUCCUCUCAAGGCGCAUGCAAGAUCACCAAGGUGAACCACAAGGUUGUAACAAUUGAUGGAUAC